AUGAACGCUGGCGGCGUGCUUAACCCAUGCAAGUCGAACGGAAAGGCUCCUGCUUGCAGGGGUACUCGAGUGGCGAACGGGUGAGUAACACGUGGGUGAUCUGCCCUGCACUUCGGGAUAAGCCUGGGAAACUGGGUCUAAUACCGGAUAGGACCACAUUUUGGAUGGUGUGGUGGAAAGUUUUUCGGUGUGGGAUGAGCUCGCGGCCUAUCAGCUUGUUGGUGGGGUAAUGGCCUACCAAGGCGUCGACGGGUAGCCGGCCUGAGAGGGUGUACGGCCACAUUGGGACUGAGAUACGGCCCAGACUCCUACGGGAGGCAGCAGUGGGGAAUAUUGCACAAUGGGCGCAAGCCUGAUGCAGCGACGCCGCGUGGGGGAUGACGGCCUUCGGGUUGUAAACUCCUUUCGCUAGGGACGAAGCGUUUUUGUGACGGUACCUGGAGAAGAAGCACCGGCUAACUACGUG
rnacentral:rRNA from 1 species